rnacentral:lncRNA from 1 species
GAUCAGGUCUUUUUCUUGAUUUGGAAGAAUGCAUUCAAUUUUAUGUUAUUAAAACAAGAUACGUGUUUUAAAAUAACACAAAAGUUUGAUCUACUUGUGUCUUUCUCAUGCAGAAGCAGGUAAUAGCUCUAUUCAGUCCUAGACAUGGAGGGGAAGUGAGUUCUUCUUCACCCUGCCUCUGUGUUCCUCUGCCUGAAAUUUCCAACUUUGCCCAGAGGGACCUCAAAUAUCAUUUGUUCCAGGACUUGACUGAGAUCUCAGUGUUUUGGAUGGAGACAGUAUAAUCUCCUAGUCAACUUGAUAGUGUUAUGCAGUGCACAUUUAUUUUAUACUUGGUGCAUGAAAUCAAAGUACAGCUGAGUUUUCAUAGGAAUUCAGACAGGGAGAGAGAGGGGGCAAUUGCUCCAUGGCAGUUUAUACUAAAUAAAACCACAAAUGCACACUGAUGUUUUUCAAUAACAGCAUGUUGACAAGCUGAUUAUAUAUGGAAUUUGAGGAUGUGCAGUAGCUCUGUCACUUCCUGGAUAAAACAAUCACUCCAAAUCUGUGCUUAUAAUAAAAGAACAACUCUUCUCAGUCAUUCCCAACUCAUUUCUAAAUUCACACUCUACAGAUGUAGACAGGGUUUGAUCAAUUUCUGGUCAACUGAUAUAA